UGCAGUCGAGCGGGCAUUUACUUCGGUAGAUUGCUAGCGGCGGACGGGUGCGUAACACGUGGGUAACCUGCCCCUAUCACUGGGAUAACACACUGAAAAGUGUGCUAAUACCAGAUAAUAUAAGCUUUUGGCAUCAUUAGCUUAUCAAAGAAUUUCGGAUAGGGAUGGGCCCGCGUCUGAUUAGCUAGUUGGUGAGGUAACGGCUCACCAAGGCAACGAUCAGUAGCCGACCUGAGAGGGUGAUCGGCCACACUGGAACUGAGACACGGUCCAGACUCCUACGGGAGGCAGCAGUGGGGAAUAUUGCACAAUGGGCGAAAGCCUGAUGCAGCAACGCCGCGUGAGCGAUGAAGGCCUUCGGGUCGUAAAGCUCUGUCCUAUGGGAAGAUAAUGACGGUACCAUAGGAGGAAGCCCCGGCUAACUACGUGCCAGCAGCCGCGGUAAUACGUAGGGGGCAAGCGUUAUCCGGAAUUACUGGGCGUAAAGGGUGCGUAGGCGGUUUAUCAAGUCAGGGGUGAAAGGCUACGGCUCAACCGUAGUGAGCCUCUGAAACUGGUGAACUUGAGUGUAGGAGAGGAAAGUGGAAUUCCCAGUGUAGCGGUGAAAUGCGUAGAUAUUGGGAGGAACACCAGUGGCGAAGGCGACUUUCUGGACUACAACUGACGCUGAGGCACGAAAGCGUGGGGAGCAAACAGGAUUAGAUACCCUGGUAGUCCACGCUGUAAACNAUGAGUACUAGGUGUCGGCUGUCAAAGGUCGGUGCCGGCGUUAACAAAUUAAGUACUCC
rnacentral:rRNA from 2 species